ensembl:lncRNA
UUUGAAUAUUUUUAUUACAGAAAAACAAAAGGCUUACACUUGACUUAAAAAAGCAGCAUUAUUUUGUGAAUUCGAAGUUAUUACAGUGAAGUUGCUUCAAGAAACUUUAAAGACUGAAGAAAAAAAAUAAAAUGCCACCUUUCCCCCUCAGACAGCACCCUAAAUUAUUUGUAUCACCACAGCAAACCCCUUAAUUUCACAUCACAUCUGACACCCAGUCUAUGACUUGUACACUUUUCUUCUCCUUGUGUCUUGUUGAAUAUAGCUGGGAGAAGGAUUUGAUGACAAUGGCAGUACACUUCAAGUUUAAUUUCCAACAGUUCAGUACACAUCUGAUUGAUUAAAUUGCAGUUCAGAAGUGACUGAGACAUGCUUUCCUUCUAACUCUAGCAGUUGUUUUCAGUUUUAACAGAUCCCAUUGUGAUCCAUUUCUUACACAGUAUUUAUCAUAUUCAGGUCCACAUCUCAGAUUUCUCAGCAAGUUAUUUGGCUACUACUUAUUAUAAACACAAACAAAAAUAAUAAACCAGAAAUGAAGGCUCACAGUUGAAACAGUUCUUAGCAGUGCAGCAGAAUUCAGAAUUUAUUACACACCAUAGAAGGAACAGCAACGUUCCAUUGACCACUUCAGUGUUUUUAUUAAGUCAAAAGCUGCAGGUUUCCAGCCCGAGCCAAAACUAAAUAUGUAAUUGAUCUGCAACUGUAAUCUUAAGAGAAAAAUCAAGAAGAUAUAUUACUGCCUUAACAGUCCUAUAUUUUGACUAUUAGCACUGAGUUGUGCUAAAGUACAAAGGAAUCGACAAGUUUCUCAUCUUUUUAAAACAACUCAGGAUCUCCACACCAUGUUAAAAAAAACUCUUUCUAAACACAUUUUUAAGCAUCUCACUUUUCAAAUAUAUUUGAAAAUAUAUUUGAAUUAUUUCUCACCUCAAAGAUUCUGCCAAAAAAAUAAAACUAAAAUCAAAAAGCAAGAAAACUCAAGUCAUUAUGUACAACUAGCUGUAAUGAUAAAAAAUGAAAAAAGGCAAUUUAUAGAAGGAAAAAGGAGAAAAGGGGGAAGAAAAACCCCAACCUAUCAAACAUCUGCUACUCAGUAUUCUAUGAAAUCAUGUUUUUUCCUCUCUCAAAAGGAAGAAGGUUGAACUUAAAAUAAGACACAGAAUUUAAAAAAAAAAAAAAAAAAAAAAAGAAAAAAGGAAAAAAGAAAAAAUAUUCUAACCUUCUUACAUAUUGUUUAGACUGUCUGAUAACAAAAAUCUUUGAAGUCGGGAUCUACUUACUGUACUCUGCACUGCAACAUGAAGCCAGCUGUUACCAAGUUACUUAAACAGAAGAAACAAGUUUCUUUCCUACAAGGAAAAAGGAUGCAAUACAUUUUCCCUGGUUAUGAUUUAUAUCAUCAUCAGGUUUAUGAUGAAGUUUUCCAAUAUGUUUAGCUGCUAAAGCGCUAACAAAAACUUAAUUUAGCAUAUAACCGUCACAUUCCGUAUCAAGUAAACAUUCUUGACUGCCAGUAAUUAUAUUACUACAUGGUAAAACAGUCCUCUAAUUCCUAACAAUUUACAUUUAACUUGAGAAAAUAGAAAAGUUUAGGGUGGUUUGGUUUUUGUGGGUUUUUUUUCAAAAUUAUGUGCAACAAGUAUAACACG